CUGGGUUGCCACUACAUAGCGCUAGAUAUUACUGAUAGAUUAUGAAAGUUCACUAGGAUCGUUUAGGAUCAACGAUCAUUGUUGAGUUAGAGUGGAAUCAUUCUGAUCUAUUGAAAAGAAUUUCAAUAAUACUAUCAUUGAGAUCAUGGUAUAUCUUAUUACCAGACAGAAUUGAACCUAUGAGAUUAUACAACAAAGGGAUUAGACC
rnacentral:lncRNA from 1 species